rnacentral:rRNA from 1 species
AAACUUUCAACAACGGAUCUCUCGGCUCUGGCAUCGAUGAAGAACGCAGCGAAACGCGAUAAGUAAUGAGAAUUGCAGAAUUUAGUGAAUCAUCGAAUCUUUGAACGCACAUUGCGCCCGCCAGUAUUCUGGCGGGCAUGCCUGUCCGAGCGUCAUUA